AUGCGGAGAUCGCGCGUAUCCGCGCCUCCCUGCCACAGGCGGCGAGGGAAGGUCCACGGUACGUCCCCGACAGCCUGCUCUGGGAGCCCUAGUUCCGCCGCCGCCACGCCUAGCAGCUCGAGGCCACCAACGGCGUCGUGCUCUCCGGAAGGCUCAACUCCGAAGGGCGGCGCCGAUGGUGGGGCGUGCCCGGCCGCACGCUGGAGGCCGUCCUCGAGUACAUCGAGGGCGGCAACACGCCGAGGCUGGAGUACCCCGCUCCCCCAUCCUUCUCUCGCCGACGUGGGAGCUCGUGGACGCCGAGGCGCAUGGACCCCGGGGCGUCCUCCUCCUCGUCCGGCCGCUCGUCUGGCUCUCCCUGCCUCCGCCCCGUCAAGCCGGAGCCCCAGGACACGCCUGUCAGCCGGCGCACCCGCAGCUCCGGCGUCCACAUCGGCGACUCCACCCCCGCCUCUGGCCGCCUCGUCCUCGUCAGGCCCAAGCCGGAGCCCGGCCUCCCCGCGGAGUACGAGGAGAUAG
rnacentral:rRNA from 1 species